CGACGAACUCUGGUAUUGAUUGGUGCUUGCAUCAUGAUUUACAUUUGAGUGAGUGGCGAACUGGUGAGUAACACGUGGGAAACCUGCCCAGAAGCGGGGGAUAACACCUGGAAACAGAUGCUAAUACCGCAUAACAACUUGGACCGCAUGGUCCGAGCUUGAAAGAUGGCUUCGGCUAUCACUUUUGGAUGGUCCCGCGGCGUAUUAGCUAGAUGGUGGGGUAACGGCUCACCAUGGCAAUGAUACGUAGCCGACCUGAGAGGGUAAUCGGCCACAUUGGGACUGAGACACGGCCCAAACUCCUACGGGAGGCAGCAGUAGGGAAUCUUCCACAAUGGACGAAAGUCUGAUGGAGCAACGCCGCGUGAGUGAAGAAGGGUUUCGGCUCGUAAAACUCUGUUGUUAAAGAAGAACAUAUCUGAGAGUAACUGUUCAGGUAUUGACGGUAUUUAACCAGAAAGCCACGGCUAACUACGUGCCAGCAGCCGCGGUAAUACGUAGGUGGCAAGCGUUGUCCGGAUUUAUUGGGCGUAAAGCGAGCGCAGGCGGUUUUUUAAGUCUGAUGUGAAAGCCUUCGGCUCAACCGAAGAAGUGCAUCGGAAACUGGGAAACUUGAGUGCAGAAGAGGACAGUGGAACUCCAUGUGUAGCGGUGAAAUGCGUAGAUAUAUGGAAGAACACCAGUGGCGAAGGCGGCUGUCUGGUCUGUAACUGACGCUGAGGCUCGAAAGUAUGGGUAGCAAACAGGAUUAGAUACCCUGGUAGUCCAUACCGUAAACGAUGAAUGCUAAGUGUUGGAGGGUUUCCGCCCUUCAGUGCUGCAGCUAACGCAUUAAGCAUUCCGCCUGGGGAGUACGGCCGCAAGGCUGAAACUCAAAGGAAUUGACGGGGGCCCGCACAAGCGGUGGAGCAUGUGGUUUAAUUCGAAGCUACGCGAAGAACCUUACCAGGUCUUGACAUACUAUGCAAAUCUAAGAGAUUAGACGUUCCCUUCGGGGACAUGGAUACAGGUGGUGCAUGGUUGUCGUCAGCUCGUGUCGUGAGAUGUUGGGUUAAGUCCCGCAACGAGCGCAACCCUUAUUAUCAGUUGCCAGCAUUAAGUUGGGCACUCUGGUGAGACUGCCGGUGACAAACCGGAGGAAGGUGGGGAUGACGUCAAAUCAUCAUGCCCCUUAUGACCUGGGCUACACACGUGCUACAAUGGAUGGUACAACGAGUUGCGAACUCGCGAGAGUAAGCUAAUCUCUUAAAGCCAUUCUCAGUUCGGAUUGUAGGCUGCAACUCGCCUACAUGAAGUCGGAAUCGCUAGUAAUCGCGGAUCAGCAUGCCGCGGUGAAUACGUUCCCGGGCCUUGUACACACCGCCCGUCACACCAUGAGAGUUUGUAACACCCAAAGUCGGUGGG
rnacentral:rRNA from 2 species